UUCCAGCGUCUGGAUCCGCUGGAAGCAGCCAUGUUCGAUAUGUUUAAUGUUGGAUCAAUGUUCUCGGAAUCAUGCUGAUGUAAAAUUUAUUUCGCGCACGGCGAAUAAGUUGCCGUUGCACGCACCGCACGAAACCGCGGCCACGGUUCGACCGAGCUUUAUGGAAAAAUCACGGAGGAGAAAGAGGAAACGUCUGACAACUCCGAUAUUGAAGUUAACGUUCACGACGACGCUCGUAUCGCGCGGCUCGUAUGACGGCGAUGUGUUUGGCAAACCCCUCGUUUGCCAGGCGUCAAAAGAAGUGCAUGUUAUGCGGCGAGAAGUGUGUAGUGAAAGAGAUAGAGGGAGAGAGAGAGAGAGUUGAACGAGUAAUAGCGCGCGCGCGGAACGGGUAUAUCGAAAUAAAAUUCGGAAACUGGAUUUCCUUGGAAAAUACUGGACGCAUGGAAAAAAGCAUCCGGUAUCAAAGCGUAAUAAUGAAAAAUCAGUACGGAAAAUCAGCCUUUGACAACCAUAUAUUGCGGCCCGUGGAAUUGGACACGUUUUAUCAGCAACUUACACAAGCACGAACAUUUGAUGAAUUCAAAUAAAUUCUUUGUUAUCCGAGAAUAAAGUGGCAUAAGAAUGG